UUUGCACAUCGCGGGAGCUCCGAGCACGGGGCUGAGAGGGCGCUGGGGCUGCGCCGACCGCCGAACCUGUUACCGGGUAAUGCCGGCGUAGGGAGUAGGUCUCAUGACCACG
rnacentral:ncRNA from 1 species